GAUGAACGCUGGCGGCGUGCCUAAUACAUGCAAGUCGAGCGAACAGACGAGGAGCUUGCUCCUCUGACGUUAGCGGCGGACGGGUGAGUAACACGUGGAUAACCUACCUAUAAGACUGGGAUAACUUCGGGAAACCGGAGCUAAUACCGGAUAACAUGUUGAACCGCAUGGUUCAACAGUGAAAGACGGUCUUGCUGUCACUUAUAGAUGGAUCCGCGCCGCAUUAGCUAGUUGGUAAGGUAACGGCUUACCAAGGCAACGAUGCGUAGCCGACCUGAGAGGGUGGUCGGCCACACUGGAACUGAGACGCGGUCCAGACUCCUACGGGAGGCAGCAGUAGGGAAUCUGCCGCAAUGGGCGAAAGCCUGACGGAGCAGCGCCGCGUGAGUGAAGAAGGUCUUCGGAUCGUAAAACUCUGUUAUUAGGGAAGAACAAAUGUGUAAGUAACUAUGCACGUCUUGACGGUACCUAAUCAGAAAGCCACGGCUAACUACGUG
rnacentral:rRNA from 1 species